ACGCUCGACACCUACGGGAGCAGCAGUUGGGAAUAUUGGACAAUGGAGGAAACUCUGAUCCAGUGACGCCGCGUGAAGGAAGAAGGUCUUCGGAUUGUAAACUUAUUUUGUCAGGGAAGAAAAAAUGACUGUACCUGAAGAAAAAGCACCGGCUAACUACGUGCCAGUAGCCGCGGUAAUCUGAGCGGGCUGGCAAGGC
rnacentral:rRNA from 1 species